UCGCGAAAACUUCGCAUAAGCGAAAGCUUGACGGGGCUAUCCCGAGUGCCAUCUGCUGAGGAUGGCUUUUACCUAGUAUAGAUAGCUGGGGGAAUAAGGAGAGGGCAAGUCUGGUGUCAGCCGCCGCGGUAAUACCAGCUCUCCGAGUUGUGGGGAUGUUUAUUGGGCCUGAAGCAUCCGUAGCCGGCUGGGCAAGUCCCCUGUUAAAUCCAGCGACGAAUCGUUGGUCUGCGGGGGAUACUGUUCGGCUAGGGGGCGGGAGAGGCCGUCGGUAUUCUUGGGGUAGGGGUGAAAUCCUAUAAUCCCAGGAGGACCACCAGUGGCGAAGGCUGUCGGCUAGAACGCGCCCGACGGUGAGGGAUGAAAGCUGGGGGAGCGAACCGGAUUAGAUACCCGGGUAGUCCCAGCUGUAAACGAUGCAGGCUAGGUGUUAGGGCGGCUACGUGCCGCUCUAGUGCCGCAGGAAGCUGUUAAGCCUGCCGCCUGGGGAGUACGGCCGCAAGGCUGAAACUUAAAGGAAUGCGGGGGGAAAAAC
rnacentral:rRNA from 1 species